rnacentral:rRNA from 1 species
CCUGGCGGCACUAGCGCGGUGGUCCCACCUGACCCCAUGCCGAACUCAGAAGUGAAACGCCGUAGCGCCGAUGGUAAUGUGGGGUCUCCCCAUGUGAGAGUAGGGAACUGCCAGGC